AUACUUACCUGGCAGGGGAGAUACCAUGAUCAGGAAGGUGGUUUUCCCAGGGCGAGGCUUAUCUAUUGUAUUAUUUUUAUUUCUUAUUGCCGCCAGAGUUAUUGCUGGGGCUCAGUUCUGGCAACAUGAAUCCACUGCUUCCUGGUGAGAUUUUAUUUUCUAAUUUUUAUUAG
rnacentral:snRNA from 12 species